CGGUAAUUCCAGCUCCAAUAGCGUAUAUUAAAGUUGCUGCAGUUAAAACGCUCGUAGUUGUUGUCCAACUAUAUGCUUCAAUCACAAGCGAAUGAAGUCCAAUAGUUUAGCAGAAGCUCUGUUUCUGCCAAAACCUUGAGGAAAGAUUAGUGUUCCAAGCAGCUAUCCUUGUCCUCCCCAGCAUGGUAUUCAACCCAAUAGAAGGAGAUUGUCGAGUCUUCAUCACACUAAAUAGAAAUUCAAGGGGGUAUACGUACUUUAAUGUCAGAGGUGAAAUUCCUAGAUUUUUAAAAGACGGUCAAUUGCGAAAGCAUUCACCAAGCGACUUUUCUUUGAUCAAGAACGAAAGUUAGGGGAUUGAAGACGAUCAGAUACCGUCGUAAUCUUAACCGUAAACUAUGCCGACUUGUCGCAGGUAGAUCACUUCUUCGUGUUUAUCGUCGACUUUUGAGAAAUCAAAGUUUUUGGGUUCUGGGGGGAGUAUGAUUGCAAGAUUGAAACUUAAAGGAAUUGACGGAAGGGCACCACCAGGAGUGGAGCUUGCGGCUUAAUUUGACUCAACACGGGAACUCUCACCAGCCCCACACAUAAAGAGGAUUGACAGAUUGAUAGUUCUUUCUUGAUUCUAUGGUUGGUGGUGCAUGGCCGUUCUUAGUUGGUGGAGUGAUCUGUCUGGUUAAUUCCGUUAACGAACGAGAUCUUAACCUACUAAAUAGAUGGUUUUCGAACUUUCUUCUUAGAGGGACACUUGAUCGUGUAGAUCAAGGAAGUUUGGGGUAAUAACAGGUCUGUGAUGCCCCUAGACGUUCUGGGCUGCACGCGCGCUACAAUAAUACGCACAGCAAGUAUCACCAAGCUCGAAGGGGCGAGGUAAUCAAGAGAAAAGGUGCUGUAAUGGUUAUAGACCCUUGUAAUUAUUGGUCUUCAACGAGGAAUUCCUAGUAAGUAUGUGUCAUCAUCACGCACUGAUUACGUCCCUGCCCUUUGUACACACCGCCCGUCGCUCCUACCGAUUGGGUGAUCCGAUGAAACUCUCGGACACGAUAUAGUCACUAUGUUGAGAAAGAGAUUUGAAUCGUAUUACUUAGAGGAAGGAGAAGUCGUAACAAGG
rnacentral:rRNA from 1 species